rnacentral:rRNA from 1 species
CAGAGGUCUCAACCGUUGUUCGGAUUCAUUGGGCGUAAAGGGUGCGUAGGCGGUCGCGCUAGUCGGAUGUGAAAUCUCGGGGCUCAACCCCGAAACUGCAUUCGAUACUGCGUGGCUCGAGUACUGGAGAGGAGACUGGAAUUUACGGUGUAGCAGUGAAAUGCGUAGAUAUCGUAAGGAGACCAGUGGCGAAGGCGAGUCUCUGGACAGUUACUGACGCUGAGGCACGAAGGCCAGGGGAGCAAACGGGAUUAGAUACCCCGGUAGUCCUGGCAGUAAACGGUGCACGUUUGGUGUAGGCGGAUUCGACCCCGCCUGUGCCGGAGCUAACGCGUUAAACGUGCCGCCUGGGAAGUACGGUCGCAAGAUUA